UACGUAGGGUGCGAGCGUUGUCCGGAAUUAUUGGGCGUAAAGGGCGCGUAGGCGGCCCGGUAAGUCAAAGGUGAAAUCCCUCGGCUCAACUGAGGAACUGCCUUUGAAACUGUCGGGCUUGAGGCCGGGAGGGGUAGCGGAAUUCCCAGUGUAGCGGUGAAAUGCGUAGAUAUUGGGAGGAACACCGGUGGCGAAGGCGGCUACCUGGACCGGUUCUGACGCUGAUGCGCGAAAGCGUGG
rnacentral:rRNA from 1 species